rnacentral:tRNA from 1 species
GAGGGUAUAGCUCAAGCAGUAGAGCACAUGCUUAGCACGCUUGAGGUCCUGGGUUCAAUCCCCAGUACCUCCU